GCGUCCCUGGUGUAACGGCAGCACUCGGAGCUCCAACCUCCGCAGUCAGGGUUCAAAUCCUUGGGGGCGUGCCA
rnacentral:tRNA from 1 species